rnacentral:rRNA from 1 species
ACGGGUGAGUAAUGUCUGGGAAACUGCCUGAUGGAGGGGGAUAACUACUGGAAACGGUAGCUAAUACCGCAUAACGUCGCAAGACCAAAGAGGGGGACCUUCGGGCCUCUUGCCAUCAGAUGUGCCCAGAUGGGAUUAGCUAGUAGGUGGGGUAACGGCUCACCUAGGCGACGAUCCCUAGCUGGUCUGAGAGGAUGACCAGCCACACUGGAACUGAGACACGGUCCAGACUCCUACGGGAGGCAGCAGUGGGGAAUAUUGCACAAUGGGCGCAAGCCUGAUGCAGCCAUGCCGCGUGUGUGAAGAAGGCCUUCGGGUUGUAAAGCACUUUCAGCGGGGAGGAAGGGGGUAAGGUUAAUAACCUUGCUCUUUGACGUUACCCGCAGAAGAAGCACCGGCUAACUCCGUGCCAGCAGCCGCGGUAAUACGGAGGGUGCAAGCGUUAAUCGGAAUUACUGGGCGUAAAGCGCACGCAGGCGGUCUGUCAAGUCGGAUGUGAAAUCCCCGGGCUCAACCUGGGAACUGCAUCCGAAACUGGCAGGCUUGAGUCUCGUAGAGGGAGGUAGAAUUCCAGGUGUAGC